rnacentral:rRNA from 1 species
AGAGUUUGAUCCUGGCUCAGGAUGAACGCUAGCGGCAGGCUUAACACAUGCAAGUCGAGGGGUAACAUUGUGCUUGCACAGAUGACGACCGGCGCACGGGUGCGUAACGCGUAUAGAACCUACCUUUUACAGAGGAAUAGCCUUUAGAAAUGAAGAUUAAUGCCUCAUAGUAUUGUAGACUGGCAUCAGUUUAUAAUUAAAGAUUUAUCGGUAAAAGAUGGCUAUGCGUCCUAUUAGUUAGUUGGUAAGGUAACGGCUUACCAAGACAGCGAUAGGUAGGGGUCCUGAGAGGGAGAUCCCCCACACUGGUACUGAGACACGGACCAGACUCCUACGGGAGGCAGCAGUGAGGAAUAUUGGACAAUGGAGGAGACUCUGAUCCAGCCAUGCCGCGUGUAGGAAGAAUGCCCUAUGGGUUGUAAACUACUUUUAUACAGGAAGAAACACUGGUAUGUAUACCAGCUUGACGGUACUGUAAGAAUAAGGACCGGCUAACUCCGUGCCAGCAGCCGCGGUAAUACGGAGGGUCCGAGCGUUAAUCGGAAUUACUGGGCGUAAAGCGCACGCAGGCGGUUUGUUAAGCUAGAUGUGAAAGCCCCGGGCUCAACCUGGGACGGUCAUUUAGAACUGGCAGACUAGAGUCUUGGAGAGGGGAGUGGAAUUCCAGGUGUAGCGGUGAAAUGCGUAGAUAUCUGGAGGAACAUCAGUGGCGAAGGCGACUCCCUGGCCAAAGACUGACGCUCAUGUGCGAAAGUGUGGGUAGCGAACAGGAUUAGAUACCCUGGUAGUCCACACCGUAAACGCUGUCUACUAGCUGUUUGUGGCUUUAAGCCGUGAGUAGCGAAGCUAACGCGAUAAGUAGACCGCCUGGGGAGUACGGCCGCAAGGUUAAAACUCAAAU